AUCGAACGCUGGCGGCGGGCCUAACACAUGCAAGUCGAACGAGUGGCGGACGGGCGAGUAAUGUCUGGGAACCUGCUUGAUGGAGGGGGAUAACUACUGGAAACGGUAGCUAAUACCGCUUACCAUCCGUUGUGCCCAGAUGGGAUUAGCUAGUUGGUGAGGUAACGGCUCACCAAGGCGAAGAUCCCUAGCGGGGCUGAGAGGAUGACCAGCCACACUGGAACUGAGACACGGUCCAGACUCCGACGGGAGGCAGCAGUAGGGAAUAUUGCACAAUGGGCGAAAGCCGGAUGCAGCCAUGCCGCGUGGAUGAAGAAGGCCUUCGGGUUGUAAAGUACUGUUAGCGGGGAAGCGUUACCCACAGAGGAAGCACCGGCUAACUCCGUGCCAGCAGCCGCGGUAAUAC
rnacentral:rRNA from 1 species